rnacentral:rRNA from 1 species
AUGCACAAGCUCAUAAAUGUUCAUUAUUUGGACAAGAAGACAUUUAUGCUUGGAAAUGAUGAUGAAGGCGAAGAGGCUAUGGUUUUUGGUACAAGUCCAAGCUUUGAUGAUCUUGUAGUUAAAGUGAGAAGCGUCUUACAUUGGAAUGACCCAAAUGCCGAGAUUAAGCUUAUUGGUAGGUAUGCCGUUGGAUUGGGAGUAAAGUCCCGAUUAAAGAGUAUGUCCAUCACCUCCCAAUUGCAUUGGAAUGUGUACAAGGACAAAGUUGAUGCAUCACAAGACAAGUCUCUUGAGAUAUUUUCCACAAAGGUUGAUCCUCCUCCUCCCUUGCAAAUUGAUUUGAACCGCAAUGUAUCCUCCCUAAUACAUGAUGAUACUGCCGAGGUGUAUAUCCCCAAUUGUUCUAGCCAACCACCAAGUAGCCAACCCACAAUGAAGAUCAUAUCAAUGCUAGCACCAUAG